CAUAGUCUGGUCACACGCUGUGCUGAAGUCAGCCUCACACAGAUCACACACAGACAUGAGUGUGCCCACUCAGCUCCUGGCGUUCCUGAUGCUGUGGCUUACAGGUGCCAGAUGUGACAUCCAGAUGACUCAGUCUCCAGCUUCCCUGGCUGCAUCUGUGGGAGAAAGUGUCACCAUCACAUGUCAAGCAAGUGAGAACAUUUACAAUGCUCUAAACUGGUAUCAGCAGAAACAGGGGAAAUCUCCUCAGCUCCUGAUCUAUAAUGCAAACAGCUUGCAAGGUGGGGUCCCAUCAAGGUUCAGUGGCAGUGGAUCUGGCACACAGUAUUCUCUCAAGAUCAACAGUCUGCAGCCUGAAGAUGUCGCAGAUUAUUACUGUCAACAAGGUGCUAGUACUCCUCCCACAGUGAUUCAAGCCUUGACAUAAACCACCCAGGGAAGCAGAAGUGAGAGCACAGGCUGUGCCCAUUGCUCCUUAUGAUGACUCCAGAUGCUCAGCUGCUGAGAGUUUUUCUCUUUGCCAGGCCUUAAAUGUCAGUGUGAUCAUAGAAACUUUUCUAUGUCUGAAAUCUGUGUCCUUUUCCCAAGACUACUCCCC